ensembl:snoRNA U3 Small nucleolar RNA U3
AAGACUAUACUUUCAGGGAUCAUUUCUAUAGUGUUUGACACAGAAAUGCGUUUCGUAAGUGUUAAGUCUUGCUACCCACGAUGAUGAUCUGAGACAUUCCUUUCUGAGCGUGAAUCUGACAGAGGUCAAUGGGAACGAUGACGUUUGUUUGCCAUGGCACUGGGGGUAGCUUUCGCUUGAGAUGCUAUAACAUCAAAAUAAACAUGGAAGGUGAAAUGAAUAUGCUGC